UAAAGAGUGACACGUUCAGUACGUGUUCUACUCAUCUUCAACAAACAUCUUCAGUGAUUUGAGUUUCUUCCUUAAACUGUAAAAAUGGAAACUAAGCCUACAGAAAUCAGCAGCUCCAAGAUGUUUGGAGGUUACAACAAGAGAUACAAACACUUCAGCCCAACACUUGGUUGUUCUAUGAAUUUCCACAUCUUUUUCCCCCCUCCUACUUCCCCUUCUCACAAGUUCCCUGUUCUUUACUGGCUCUCUGGCUUAACUUGCACGGACGAGAACUUUAUAGCUAAAUCUGGUGCUCAACGUGCUGCUUCAAAUGAGGGUGUUGCGCUGAUUGUUCCUGAUACAUCUCCAAGAGGCCUGAAUGUGGAAGGAGAGUCAGACAGCUGGGACUUCGGUGUAGGUGCUGGUUUCUAUCUAAAUGCUACACAAGAGAAAUGGAAGAACUGGAGGAUGUAUGACUAUGUGGUCAAGGAAUUGCCGACACUUCUUCUUGAAAACUUUCCAGAACUUGAUACAUCACGCGCAUCUAUCUUCGGUCACUCUAUGGGUGGGCAUGGAGCGCUGACAGUGUACCUGAAAAACCUGGAUAAAUAUAAGUCAGUAUCUGCUUUUGCUCCUAUUACAAAUCCGAUCAACUGUCCCUGGGGCCUGAAGGCUUUCACAAACUACUUGGGUGAAAAUAAAGCUGAUUGGGAGGAAUAUGAUGCUACCUGUCUUGUAUCAAGGUUUAACAAUGUCUCUGCUACCAUUCUUAUUGAUCAGGGAGGGGAUGACAAAUUCUUGAAAGAUCAAUUGCUCCCACAUAAAUUUGAGGCGGCAUGCAGAAAGGUUGGCGUUCCUUUGCUGGUGCGGUUGCAACCUGGUUAUGAUCACUCUUACUAUUUCAUUGCCACCUUCAUUGAUGAUCACAUUCGUCAUCAUGCCCAAGCCCUUAAGCUUUGAUUUGGUUAAGCUUCUACUUCUGCUGAAGAUUUUCUGGAAAUGUAACGAGGGACAACUUAAGCAAGUUAAUAGUGGUGCACUUUUCGUGUGGCAGGAAGUAUGUUGAGGUUUCUAUAGGAUUAUUGAGAUCGGCCGGUUGCAGCUGGAUUGGUCGUUGAUCACGGCUUUGAUAGAGCGGGCGACCGGAGACGCACACAUUUCAUUUACCCAUUGGCGUGGCUACUAUCACGUUUCAGGACGUGGAGGUUCUAUAUGGGCUGCCGGUUGAUGGCCAUCCUUUAGCUUUACCGCAUGCUAUCAGAGAUUAUACGGGAGUGCAGUACCUGGAGAUGUUGCAGCGGCUCACCGGUUUCCAGCCAGCGCAUGAUACUGCAUUGAGUGGGGCUAGUCGUCUGCAGUUGACGCCCGUCCGGCUGCAUGUGAAGGCGAUGCAUGUGGACAUUACAGAUGAUACACCGGAUCUUCAUAUUAACCGGUACACGAGAUUGUUGAUGCUGCUUAUGUUUGGAGGGGUAUUGUUCCCGAACACUUCGAGAAACCUAGUCAGCUUGAGAUUUCUUCAUUAUCUUGAGUAGCUAGAUGAUUUACCUGGUUACAGCUGGGGUGCAGCAGUUCUUGGUUACUUGUACAUGCAGAUGUACCGGGCUAGCAUGGGCACCCAGCGCGACGUUGCCGGAUUUUUGCCGCUGCUGCAGGUUUGGGCCUGGGAGCGGUUCCUGCAGUUGCAACCACCUCUACCACCCAUCGCUCCGAGUGCACCACCUCCACCGUUUCUCCCUUUAGCUAGGAGGUGGGUUGAUAGGCGAGGCUACGAACGCGAGUUCCAGGCUCGACAUAAUCUCCCCUAUUGCAGGGAUUUGUUGGAUUUACUAGAGGCUGCACAGUUCAUUUGGAGGCCAUACAACGACGAGUUAAUAGCUGGUUUGCCCGAUUAUUGCUCGACCGACCGACUUAUGUGGAGCUCUUCCGUCCCGUUGAUAUGUCUCAAUAUUAUCGAGUAUCAUGCCACCGAGCGAGUCCUUUGCCAGUUUGGUCGACCGCAGCUUGUACCUACUCCGCCCGUUUGGCUUAGGACACAUUACCAGCGGGAUGAGCGUUCCAGGGUUGACCAGACAUAGAUGGCCUGGCUAGAGGCGCAGAUCGAGAUUUGGGACCAGUGGCAUGACCUUAUUCCGCCACCCCAUACACCUGAGUGUACGGAUGGUGAGCAUGAGUAUAUGGGUUGGUACCGCAGCGUUACCCGAAUUUUCGUCGGGAAUCCCGUUCAUCAAGCUGCCGAUCGGUACGUUCCAUACGCCGGGAGGCAUGAGGCACUGGCUAUCGGCCUACAUCUGUUCUACCAGUUGGGACCGCAGAUGCAGCAGCAUACCGACAAAGAAGCGACCGCUUUGCACGAGUAUGGCUGGCAGGUUACAGAUCUGGCUUCCCAGACAUUGAGGCGAGCCCUAGAUGAUGAACGCUUAGGAUACAAGGCUGAUUAUGUGGCGCCAGAGCAGUACCAUCGUGGGCCAGCAGUGGAGCCUGAACGUGGUCGACGUGGCAGGCGUGCCUAGAGGUAGGGGUGUCCCACGAGGUCGUGGGGGUUGGCGAGAAGUUGAUCCUCAGCAAGGGGGCGUUGAGGCACUUGUUGAGGAUGUUGGAGUUGAUCAGUCGGGUGACCACCCUGAGCCAGACCAUGCUCCUAGUGAUUUGUCGUCAUUCAGCCUACAGCUUACUCCAAGGACUUCGCAGGUGACCCCGUCAGCUCCAUUAUUGAUCACGGGCACGGCCAUUACGCGACAGGAGUGGGAUCAGUAUUUUCCUGGUCCUCCAGAGUCAUCGACGGUUGCUGAUGAUCGUCCGACACGAGAUGUGGAUAGCGGGCGCCGACUAAGUUAUGGCUCAUCAUCGAGGGAUGCUGAGGAUCUUUCACAGGAUUUGGCAUCAUCCUCGCUCGUCACGGAGGCCACUUGUGCGAUACUGACAUGUCUGAGACAGAUGAUUAUAUUCAGGAGCCCGCCGAGACCAUGGUUACUGCUGGACCGACGACCCAUUCUACCGAUCCUGCCAGCCUUACUGACAAUCAUGCUGCAGCGCAUCCUCUGGUAAAAAGACGACGUGAUGAGGAUGAUCCUGAUAGUGUAGCCGGGCGGGAUGGGAUGCGCAUCAGGCCAGCCAAUACUUUAAAGCAUACAGGUUGUGGGACACAUUGACUUUUUUUUCAUUUUUUGUACAUAUGACAUUCAGUAAAUAAUAGCAAUAUUAUUUAUGGUUUACAUUA